GAUGAACGCUAGCGGCAGGCCUAACACAUGCAAGUCGAGGGGGAAGUUACUUUCGGGUGACUGAGACCGGCGUACGGGUGCGUAACGCGUAUACAAUCUGCCUUUCACUGGGGAUAGCCCGAAGAAAUUUGGAUUAAUACCCCAUAGUAUAUAGGGACGGCAUCGUUUUUAUAUUAAAGCUUAGGUGGUGAAAGAUGAGUAUGCGUUCUAUUAGCUAGUUGGAGAGGUAACGGCUCCCCAAGGCGAUGAUAGAUAGGGGUUCUGAGAGGGAUGUCCCCCACACUGGUACUGAGAUACGGACCAGACUCCUACGGGAGGCAGCAGUGAGGAAUAUUGGACAAUGGUCGGAAGACUGAUCCAGCCAUGCCGCGUGCAGGAUGAAGGUCUUAUGGAUUGUAAACUGCUUUUGUAAGGGAAGAAUAAGGGCUACGCGUAGUUUGAUGACGGUACCUUACGAAUAAGCAUCGGCUAACUCCGUG
rnacentral:rRNA from 1 species